UUGAGUCAUGUCGUUA
rnacentral:sRNA from 1 species